AUUGAACGCUGGCGGCAGGCCUAACACAUGCAAGUCGAGCGGAUGAAGGGAGCUUGCUCCUGGAUUCAGCGGCGGACGGGUGAGUAAUGCCUAGGAAUCUGCCUGGUAGUGGGGGAUAACGUCCGGAAACGGGCGCUAAUACCGCAUACGUCCUGAGGGAGAAAGUGGGGGAUCUUCGGACCUCACGCUAUCAGAUGAGCCUAGGUCGGAUUAGCUAGUUGGUGGGGUAAAGGCCUACCAAGGCGACGAUCCGUAACUGGUUUGAGAGGAUGAUCAGUCACACUGGAACUGAGACACGGUCCAGACUCCUACGGGAGGCAGCAGUGGGGAAUAUUGGACAAUGGGCGAAAGCCUGAUCCAGCCAUGCCGCGUGUGUGAAGAAGGUCUUCGGAUUGUAAAGCACUUUAAGUUGGGAGGAAGGGCAGUAAGUUAAUACCUUGCUGUUUUGACGUUACCAACAGGAUAAGCACCGGCUAACUUCGUG
rnacentral:rRNA from 1 species